UCCCUGGUGGCUCAGAUGAUAAAGAAUCUUCCUGCAAUGUAGGAGACCUGGGUUUGAACCCUGGCUAGGGAA
rnacentral:tRNA from 1 species